rnacentral:rRNA from 1 species
UGCAAGUCGAACGGUAACAGGGAGCUUGCUCCGCUGACGAGUGGCGAACGGGUGAGUAACGCAUCGGAAUGUACCGUGUAAUGGGGGAUAGCUCGGCGAAAGCCGGAUUAAUACCGCAUACGCCCUGAGGGGGAAAGUGGGGGACCGUAAGGCCUCACGUUAUACGAGCAGCCGAUGUCUGAUUAGCUAGUUGGUGAGGUAAGAGCUCACCAAGGCGACGAUCAGUAGCGGGUCUGAGAGGAUGAUCCGCCACACUGGGACUGAGACACGGCCCAGACUCCUACGGGAGGCAGCAUGUGGGGAAUUUUGGACAAUGGGCGCAACGCCUGAUCCAGCCAUGCCGCGUGUCUGAAGGAAGGCCUUCGGGUUGUAAAGGACUUUUGUUCGGGAGGAAAUCCCGCUGGUUAAUACCUGGCGGGGAUGAC